rnacentral:piRNA from 1 species
UUUCGAUGUGAGCUGCAUAAUUUUGGUC